GUACACGCUGUGACUAGCAUAUCAAUAAGCGGAGGAAAAGAAACUAACAAGGAUUCCCUCAGUAACGGCGAGUGAAGCGGGAAGAGCUCAAAUUUGAAAUCUUGAAAGGUCACCUUUCACGAAUUGUAGUUUAAAGAAGUGUUUUCUGUUACGAUCGUAAUAUAAGUUCUUUGGAAUAGGACAUCAUAGAGGGUGAGAAUCCCGUAUGAUUGACCAUUAUUUGUCAGCUUUGUGAUACACUUUCAAAGAGUCGGGAUUGUUUGGGAAUGCAGUCCCAAAACGGGAGGUAAAUUUCUUCUAAGGCUAAAUAUUGGCGAGAGACCGAUAGCGAACAAGUACCGUGAGGGAAAGAUGAAAAGAACUUUGAAAAGAGAGUUAAAUAGUACGUGAAAUUGUCAAAAGGGAAGCGUUUAACACCAGUGUUGUUUUCUGAAAAUCAACCUCUGUUAGCUUUAUGCAUGUUUGUUUAGACCUAAUCAGCUAUCUUUCAUGUUCUAUUGUUUGCAGUGGUGCACUUUUCAGUUUACAGGUCAACAUCAGUUUUUUUUUACCGUAAAAAAGUUAAAGAAAGGUAGCUCAUGGCUCCGGUCGUGAGUGUUAUAGUCUUUUUCCUAUGCGGUAGGAGAGACUGAGGUCUGCAGUGUAGGCUAUUUGGCUAGAUACUCAGGUGCUAUGUGGAUACCAUUUCAUAAACAACUUGUUGAUUAUGUUUUGUCUAUUGCAUACUCGCUUGUACUAUCAUACCUACGCUUAGGAUGUUGAGUAGCGACAUACGCAC
rnacentral:rRNA from 1 species